UUACGGCCAUAUCACGUUGAAACACCGGUUCCCGUAUGGUCAUGGAAGUGAAGCAACGUCGGCCAUCGUCAGUAUCUAGAUGAGUGACCGUUUGAAAAUACUAGGUGCUGUAA